rnacentral:rRNA from 1 species
AGAGUGAACGCUGGCGGUAGGCCUAACACAUGCAAGUCGAACGGCAGCACAGUGGCAGCAAUACCAUGGGUGGCGAGUGGCGGACGGGUGAGGAAUACAUCGGAAUCUACCUUUUCGUGGGGGAUAACGUAGGGAAACUUACGCUAAUACCGCAUACGCCCUUCGGGGGAAAGCCGGGGAUCGCAAGACCUGGCGCGGAUAGAUGAGCCGAUGUCGGAUUAGCUAGUGGUGAGGUAAUGGCUCACCAAGGCGACGAUCCGUAGCUGGUCUAGAGAGGAUGAUCAGCCACACUGGAACUGAGACACGGUCCAGACCUCCGUACGGGAGCAGCGAGGUGGGGAAUAGUUGGGACAAGUGGGCACGAA